rnacentral:misc_RNA from 1 species
GGAUCAUUAACGCAGAGAACAAAAAAAAAAUUUUUGUUGCUCAGUCUCAGUCUCAGUCUCAGUCAGUCCCACGUCUUGGUCCCGCGGCAGUCGAGCAUGAAGCGCUGCCGCGGGACUGUGUUCGCUAAGUCUUUCGGGGUACCUACCACUGUCCUCGAUGCGACCCACGGUGACGGCUUAGAGCCCGUGUGCUCGCCGGGUCGCGAUGGUUCAAAGAGUGGCCGGCCGCACCCACCGCAUGUCAUGUGCGCGUGUGUGUGUGGCCGGCGACCGCCCCACUCGUGCUCGUCGUCCGACAAAACUGGCAAAAGAACGGGAGGUCUCGUCCGGGGUACCUAUGCCCUGCAAGCGUGCUCGCAUGCAGGGUGGUAGCUCCAGCUCGUCACUUUGGCCGCGAGGUUCAAAGAGUCGGCCGUGCCAUUCACGCUCUCGAUGGCACCGGUCGCCGCCCCGGGCCUCCCACAAUUUUUCCUUUACCAAACACACAAAAUUAAUUUUGUUGAACGCCGAUCAGGUCAGGCCACGACCGGUCGGUGGGUGCAAGUCCGAAAUUGAAAAAGUCUAUAACUUUGAGCGGUGGAUCACUCGGCUCGUGCGUCGAUGA